AGAACGAACGCUGGCGGCAUGCCUAACACAUGCAAGUCGAACGAGACCUUCGGGUCUAGUGGCGCACGGGUGCGUAACGCGUGGGAAUCUGCCCUUGGGUUCGGGAUAACAGUUGGAAACGACUGCUAAUACCGGAUGAUGACUUCGGUCCAAAGAUUUAUUGCCCAGGGAUGAGCCCGCGUAGGAUUAGCUAGUUGGUGAGGUAAAGGCUCACCAAGGCGACGAUCCUUAGCUAGGUCUGAGAGGAUGAUCAGCCACACUGGGACUGAGACACGGCCCAGACUCCUACGGGAGGCAGCAGUGGGAAUAUUGGACAAUGGGCAAAGCCUGGAUCCAGCAAUGCCGCGUGAGUGAUGUAGGCCUUAGGUGUAAAGCUCUUUUACCGGGAUGAUAAUGACAGUACCGGAGAAUAAGCCCCGGACUAAACUCCGUGACCGAGUACGCCCGAC
rnacentral:rRNA from 1 species